UGGGGAAUAUUGCACAAUGGGGGAAACCCUGAUGCAGCCAUGCCGCGUCGUGUGAAGAAGGCCUUCGGGUUGUAAAGCACUUUCAGUUGUGAAGAAAAGUUAGUAGUUAAUAGCCUGCUAGCCGUGACGUUACCAACAGAAGAAGCACCGGCUAACUCCGUGCCAGCAG
rnacentral:rRNA from 1 species